rnacentral:rRNA from 1 species
GAUGAACGCUGGCGGCGUGCCUAAUACAUGCAAGUCGAGCGAACAGACGAGGAGCUUGCUCCUCUGACGUUAGCGGCGGACGGGUGAGUAACACGUGGAUAACCUACCUAUAAGACUGGGAUAACUUCGGGAAACCGGAGCUAAUACCGGAUAAUAUAUUGAACCGCAUGGUUCAAUAGUGAAAGACGGUUUUGCUGUCACUUAUAGAUGGAUCCGCGCCGCAUUAGCUAGUUGGUAAGGUAACGGCUUACCAAGGCAACGAUGCGUAGCCGACCUGAGAGGGUGAUCGGCCACCCUGGAGCUGAAACACGGUCCAGACUACUACGGGAGGCAGCAGUAGGGAAUCUUCCGCAGUGGGCGAAAGCCUGACGGAGCAACGCCGCGUGAGUGAUGAAGGUCUUCGGAUCGUAAAACUCUGUUAUUAGGGAAGAACAAAUGUGUAAGUAACUAUGCACGUCUUGACGGUACCUAAUCAGAAAGCCACGGCUAACUACGUG